ensembl:lncRNA
GUACAUCCCUCAAAACACCACCAUCAUCGAAAGCCUUUUCAAGCUUUCCAUCAGGAAGAAUAACUUGAAAGCAAAUGUUAUCUUCCAUGAUACUUUCCUCAGAAAACACUAGAAUAAGUUCUCUGAGAAUCUGUCCACGAUGAAGAACAAUAACUUUCUUCACUCUUUCUCCCUGACUGGCUUGGUCCUGCAAAACAUCCAUGGGAGGAAGCAAAGCUGAUGCAAAUUAUAUGUCCUGAGAGAGAGCCACGGUGUCAUCAAGAGAAGAGUACUCCAUCCUAUCCAUGGUUUCUGUGUGGAAAGUUACUAUGCCACUAUCCUCUAAAGCAUCCACAUGAUGUAAUGUGUUAUGCUCUGGCAAGGAGUAUUUGGAGAAGGACGAAGCCAAACACAGCCAGACGAGCACCAUCGGAUGGCAGACCGGGGUCCCAGAACACCAAGCCGGAUGCCCUGUCUCGUCUGUUUGACCCCAAGCCCACAGCCAAGAAACCUGAGCCAAUCCUGCCACUGCACCGUGUGGUAGGAGCGGUAACGUGGCAGAUAGAAUCAGAGGUGAAGCGUGC